rnacentral:rRNA from 1 species
UACGUAGGGAGCAAGCGUUGUCCGGAAUCAUUGGGCGUAAAGCGCGCGUAGGUGGCCUCAUAAGUCCGUUGUGAAAGUCAAAGGCUCAACCUUUGAAAGCCGAUGGAUACUGUGAGACUAGAGUACGGAAGAGGCGAGUGGAAUUCCUGGUGUAGCGGUGAAAUGCGUAGAUAUCAGGAGGAACACCGGUGGUGUAGACGGCUCACUGGACCGUAACUGACGCUGAGACACGAAAGCGUGGGUAGCAAACAGG